UACAUUAUAGCAGAAGGUCAUGUUAGACCAAGUUAUAUUCGAAAAAGCGUAAUAUUGGAUGGGCCGAGCUAUGUUCAAAGGGGCAUGAGGCUAGUCAGGACAAGUCACAAUCGAGACCCGUGAGCGUUAUAUCUAUACGUUUUAAAUAAAUUCAUUGCGUAUUUCUAAAAGCUCGAGUUUUGGAAAUAAAUGGUUAGCUCCAACGAUCCGACAAGUAAUAUCAGAACCAGAGGUUACGGAUUCAAUUUCAAAUGAAAAGUUGUGUAAAUACUGGAGGGGAGAUUGUUUCUUAAAUAAGCUAGCAUCUUGCUUUGUGGUAGGAGGCUAUGUUGAAGUUAUGUUCGAAAUGGCGUGACGCUGGAUGGGUCGAGUUAUAUUCGAAAUAGUAUGAGAUUAGCUGGAUCGAGUCACAAUCGAAAUCCGUAGGUGUUGUAUCUGUACGCUUUAAGUAAAUUAUUUGUGUAUUUCUAACGGUUCGAGUUUUUGGGAUUACUAGUUACGAUCCGACACGGUCAACCACGGUAUCCAGCUUUUUUGAUCUUCUAAUUCUAAUUGUCG
rnacentral:lncRNA from 1 species